UAGCGAAGGGGGCUAGCGUUGUUCGGAAUCACUGGGCGUAAAGCGCACGUAGGCGGAUCUUUAAGUCAGGGGUGAAAUCCCGAGGCUCAACCUCGGAACUGCCUUUGAUACUGGGGAUCUCGAGUCCGGGAGAGGUGAGUGGAACUGCGAGUGUAGAGGUGAAAUUCGUAGAUAUUCGCAAGAACACCAGUGGCGAAGGCGGCUCACUGGCCCGGAACUGACGCUGAGGUGCGAAAGCGUGGGGAGCAAACAGGGAUUAGAAUCAC
rnacentral:rRNA from 1 species